GAUCAUGGAGAAGAUGGCUGCUUUGGGUCUGAGCCCUGGAUCCUUCUCCCUCCUUAGGAGAGCCUGUGGUUCUCUAGGACUAGGGAGCCGUGCCCUCCUGUGAUGGGGGGAGUCAGGGGGGCAGCGGAGACCUGGCCUGGGUCCUUGGAAUCCCAGGCAGCCUAAGCCAAGGCCUGUUGGCAACAGCAGGAGCUCCAGAGCUCUGGCUCAGGGACUGGAGUUCUCAUUGGAUUUUCCACUUGGCCCCCAGGUCCUGGGCAGCGCUAGGAGGUGGCAUAAUCUGAAGACCUCUGACUCCUGGUUGGUAGGUCCUUGCAGCCUCAGGGGCUUCUGAGGGGCACGCAUCAGUUCCCUCCCCUCCGCUGUCUACUCCUGGGAGAGCCCUUCUCUCUCAGGCAUCUCCCACCCCUUUCCCACUCCCUUCCUCUGUCUCACUGCCUCUUUUUCUCUUCAACACCUCUGCUCCUCUCCCACCUCUCCCUCUCCCCUCCUCUCCCUCCUCCCCAUCCCUACUCCCCCAGGCUCCUUUCCUCUCCACACUCCUGCUGCCUCAACUUCCUCCUCCCCUCUUUAGGCGCCUCUCCCUGUCUGCUACCUCCAUGCUGCUUAUCUCCCCACCUCAAACUCUCUCUUUCUCUCUCUCUCACACUCCACUCUGUGCACCAUACUGAGGAGGCCUGCAAGCGCCCUGCAGCCCUUGGGGAUGUGGCUCCGACAUUCCAUCCUGAGGAAGAAGAGGAGGAGGGAGACGUGGCUUUCAGAAGUCCCUCCUUGCUGUCCUGGAGCAGAGCAGAGCACCUGGGGAGUGGGGAGGAGGCCUGGGCUGUGGUGAAAGGAGGCUCAGAACAAAACAGGGACUUAGGGGGGUCCAGAGCACAGGCUCUGGAGUCACACAGGCCUGGGUUCAAAUCCUGGCUCUGCCACUUCCUGGCUGUGUGACUCAGGGCAAGUCACUUGAACUCUCUGGGCCUCAAUUUCCCCAUCUGUAAAAUGAGGAUGAAGCUAGUUCCUGCCUCCUGGGGUUGUUGUGAAAAUCCAGGGAACUCAUGCAAAGUGCUUGACACCAGGCCAAAAAUACAGGGGGCGAUCAGUAUCAUGAAUAGGGAGUCAGGGACUGGCCUUGGCCCCAGACUUCACAUCUGGGAACUGGGCUGGGCAUCUGAGCCAUGCAUUUCUAAAUGAACCCUCAGAGGAAGGAGGGGGGUCCAGGGUUAAGACUCCACACCUGCCAUCACGGUGAGGACUGGAAUGACUUGCUGCCAUAUUGUUCCAGUGCCGAGAAAGAUGGAGAAACUGAGGCCCAGAGAGACGAUGCAGUAGAAUGAAGUGCACAUGGGGCCUGGGAGUCCGAUGACCUCCAGGUCUUAGCUCUCUGCUGUCUUGCUGUGUGACUGCGGGCAAGCCCCUCUACCUCUCUGAACCUCAGACUUUAUGUGUAUAGAAUGGGUCUGAGGAGAGCAAGCCCUUCCUGCUAAAAUUAAAUUGGGGAGUGGGUGCAAGCCCUCCCUGGGUGCAAGGCACAGAGUGGCACUCGGGCGUCUUUCCACCCUUCACUCCUUUUUUGUCUCUCAUCCAGGGCCUGGCAGCAGCAGGCUAACACGCAGGCCUUCUCCGCCCCCAACACACCUCCCUCAGUUCCAACUUCGCUAGCUGCUCCAUUCCUGGGCAGAUGUUUGCC
rnacentral:lncRNA from 10 species